rnacentral:rRNA from 1 species
UUUUAUUUGAGAGUUUGAUCCUGGCUCAGGAUGAACGCUGGCGGCGUGCCUAACACAUGCAAGUUGAGCGAUUUACUUCGGUAAAGAGCGGCGGACGGGUGAGUAACGCGUGGGUAACCUCCCCUGUACACACGGAUAACAUACCGAAAGGUAUGCUAAUACGGGAUAAUAUAUUUGAGAGGCAUCUCUUAAAUAUCAAAGGUGAGCCAGUACAGGAUGGACCCGCGUCUGAUUAGCUAGUUGGUAAGGUAACGGCUUACCAAGGCGACGAUCAGUAGCCGACCUGAGAGGGUGAUCGGCCACAUUGGAACUGAGACACGGUCCAAACUCCUACGGGAGGCAGCAGUGGGGAAUAUUGCACAAUGGGCGAAAGCCUGAUGCAGCAACGCCGCGUGAGUGAUGAAGGCCUUCGGGUCGUAAAACUCUGUCCUCAAGGAAGAUAAUGACGGUACU